rnacentral:misc_RNA from 2 species
AACGCAACUUGCGCCCUCUGGUAUUCCGGAGGGCAUGCCUGUUUGAGUGUCAUGUAGACUCAAUCCCUCGGGUUUCCGAGGAGAUUGGACUUGGGUGUCUGCCUCUUUUGGCUCGCCUUAAAAGACUUAGCGGGAUAGCACCAUAGUCGACUUAAUAAGUUUCGUCGGUGAAGGUGUGAUGUCUGCUCACAAUCGCCCUUGGGCACUUUUGACUCUGACCUCAAAUCAGGUAGGACUACCCGCUGAACUUAA